rnacentral:rRNA from 2 species
UAGCACCGUCGGGUUCUCCCGUCGGUACGUCUGGUUCAGGGUUGUU